UACGUAGGGAGCAAGCGUUGUCCGGAAUCAUUGGGCGUAAAGCGCGCGUAGGUGGCUUCGUAAGUCCGUUGUGAAAGUCAAAGGCUCAACCUUUGAAAGCCGAUGGAUACUGCGGAGCUAGAGUACGGAAGAGGCGAGUGGAAUUCCUGGUGUAGCGGUGGAAUGCGCAGAUAUCAGGAGGAACACCAGCGGCGAAGGCGGCGCUCUGGGCCGGAACUGACGCUGAGGAGCGAAAGCGUGGGUAGCAAACAGG
rnacentral:rRNA from 1 species